UUUUACAAUGAGAAACUGAUCCUCAGAGAAUUUCACUUACUUGCCCAAAUACACACAGCUAGUAAGUGGUGGAACAAGGAAUUCAGGCCAGUCCUUAUCUGUCUCCAAAGUCCAUCCUACAGUCCCAAUACCAGCAUGUCCCAAAUGGUGCUACACCGGCCAAGAUCCUCCUCCUUAUCCAGAACACCGACGAUGCUUCUACACACCCGAGGCCACACUGCGCUGCCAGAUGACUGACAACCCUUUCUUUUGAGCAGUCCUGGUUUCCUACCAACGUGCCCGAGACCCACUGGUUCCUCCGCCUCCUGAACAAAGACCGCUGAGUGGUUAGCUGCUGAAUUGCCAUGGCUACUUGACAACAGCCCAUCCAGGGUCCCCUCUUCACUGGCUCCUCCUUUGACCCAAUCAGCACACGGCCAGACCUUUCUGAGUCCCCUACCUACAUCCCUGAUCCUUUGACCUGGUAUCUUCCUUUGCUGCAAGCAGGCUAAUAAAAUGAACGGUGCCAUUGCAA